CGCGUAGGCGGUGAUAUGAGUGUGAUGUGAAAGCCCCGGGCUUAACCUGGGAAGUGCAUCGCAAACGAUAUGACUGGAGUAGAUGAGAGGGUGGCGGAAUUUCCGGUGUAGCGGUGAAAUGCGUAGAGAUCGGAAGGAACGUCAAUGGCGAAGGCAGCCACCUGGCAUCAUACUGACGCUGAGGCGCGAAAGCGUGGGGAGCGAACA
rnacentral:rRNA from 1 species